CAGGCCAGUGGAGUGUUAUGGGGGGUACAGGAGACCUUACAAUGGCACGAGGUAUUAUAAAUUACAAAAUAAUCCAAGAAGACGGUGCCAGCAGGACCUUUGAAAUAUCCAUAUUUGCAUACUACACUUCAAAGGAAACCAUUCCGGUAAGUGCCAGAUACAUUUUUAUCUGUUGCUAGUAUUGAAAUUUUCUCUUCAUAUUUUGGAUAAAAUUAAAUAGGACAGCAAACAUCUAUACAUACCUUACCACUGCAGUGUACAUAGAAGUAGUUUUAGUGAAUAGAUGAAUUCAUCUCCAUGAAUGUGAAUAUGUGAUGGAAACAAUACUCACAAAUGAUGAAUGACCACAUUCAUAAAUUUUAUGCAGAUUCCGGGUGGUAUUGGCAUUUUCCCUUGAGACAUUGCACUUCGGACAUAGAUUGAGACCAUCCUUCGCAUGUUUGUGUGUGUUGAGACGAGAUGACUACUAGAUCUACGAUCUAUUUUAUGCUUCAUCCUAAAUAAAUUAUCCGCCUAUGUAUUGUGACUUACCAACCACUCAGUUGUAUUCUAGAGAGCAUUGCAUGCAAUUCUUCAUACCUUUUUAUGUCAUGUUCUCCUCGUCACAAAAGAUCCUAUCAUCAAUAAAUGUGCCAUUUUUUUGUGAAAAGAUGUUUUAGUAAUAUUUUUCUGGGCAUUCUCUUCAUGGUUCGAGAAUUUUGUGUGACUCAAACAUCUAGCAACUGUAGCCUUGCUAUGUUGUGAAGGAAUAAUACCACCAGAAAAAUCACUUUUAUUUCCCGUACCAGGGCUGCGAGUGUGGCAGUGAUACCCAAUGUACCACACCCGGUUCUAAAACACAUGUAGCAAUACUAGUCUUCGGUGGUCGUUCAUAACUGGCAGUACAGUUGCCAUAGUGAAGGCAUCAUUUUCCGGCAAGCUACAAGUUACGCAACUCUAAAAAUGGAUGGUCUAGCCUAGUCAUGCAUUGUCCUAGGAAACGGGUAGCAAAGGGGUUCCCGACCGGUAGUAAACGUUGUUUCUCCAGUAGUACCUAUAUGCACCCAAAUACAGACACAACAGGAAAAAGCUACUAAGGCCAUUCUUAAUUUAAUAUAAAUAGACUGCUCUUAAAUUUCAUAACUCUCGCCAAUAGUUACCUUGGUGAUGACGCCAGAAUGGCUGGCAUGUACUUCAAAUGAUUCUAGUAUUACUUAGAAAUUUAGCUUGAAAGCACAUGGAAUAACAUUGUACAAUUUAACUAGGUCUAUUCCAGGGUUAUGAAUUUAUUUCCACAAUUAAGCAAUAAUUGCAACAUUGUAUCACGGAUUAACAAGAAAACACUAGGGUAAACAUUGGGGUAGGAAAAUAAUAACCUCUAUACGCAAGACUAUACCAUGCCAAGGGUAAUAUGGAGAUAUUACUAUCUUGGAUUGAGAUCUAAAUUAACAAAAUUAUGGAAAUACGGGGCACUAUGGGGGGCAAAACAUAUGAAAACUCAAUAUCAACGUGCUUUGUAAACGUUUGUGGAGAUUUCAAAGAGUGGAUUGGAUUUGGCAAGAGAUAAUUAGAGCUAAAUACCUUCGGGAGUUUACCUUCAAAUCAGUGAAGCACAGGUGGAACCUUCAAGGGAGAAGUGUAAAGACUAAUUGCGUGGGGUAUACCCUCUUCUAGAAUGGUAUUUUCCGGUACGAGACUCCUUUAUGUGAUGGAUUUCCAAUGCUAUAUGCCUUGUGUUGGCAAUAGGAAGUUAGUGUGUGCAAAUAGUAUCGCAAAUCAUAGGAAGUCCCUGCCGAUUUGAGAAUCCUAUUGUUCGUUCGUACCUUGUACAGGUAACAGAAGAGAAUUCUAACCAUGGAUUGUAUAUGGAGUUAGAAAAAUUACUAUAAUCCUCAGUGCUUCCACUUUUAGGGUUUAGACCUCAUGGUUUUGCAAUGAUCGACUAGCAUCUUUCGAUAGAGAAUGCCCAGUUCCUUCUUUCUUAUCUGACCCACCUAAACAUAUUGCAGGUGCAAGUCUAGUUACAGGGACAAAUAAGACAUUUUAACUUGUUGACGUUCGCAAUGGCAUUCUCUUUCAUAUGGCAAGUUGACUCGAAGGUACCAUUUUCUAUCGAAGUCAGUAGGGAAGACCCAUUUAGUUAUCUACGACAGGGAGUGAAAACUAGGCCUGCUGGAUCCUACUCAGCUGCUGUAACUACUACUCAAGAGCCCCUUUCACCAGAAGUAGCAUUUUCUGCUGAGUGUAUUCCAAGGCUAAUCCAAUCCACAUUGACCAAGACCAUGGGUUGUUUCCGUAAGGGGGUGAUCUGCCAUCUUGAAAAUAUAGUGCUAGAAAAGACCGAGCUGGAGGAAAUGGCUGGGGCAGGAGGAAGAAGAUGUCUGAUUUAUAGGAGGGAAGUUAGUACCGGGUGGAGGCUCCACCCGGUACUAAAGGUUGCCAAUUACUGGGUGAAGCCUCCACCCGGUACUAAAGGUCCUCAGGCACAUUGUCACUGGUUGGAGGCUUCAACUGGUACUAAUGCGUAACCUUUAGUAUCGAUGAAGCCUGCACCCGGUACUAAAGGGGAUCACGGGGCGCUACUGGGGAACUAGUCGUUAGUGCCGGUACUAAUACUCGGGUCAGAAACCAACCGGUACUAAGCCUCGGGAUGCAUGCUGAGCCUAGGGAUCCACACGCGUAAUUAUGAAGCAAUAAUUACAAGGAUUCAAGUUGACUCUGGAGAAAGAUCUGCCAGCGAUAUGUGAGCAAUUACACGUUGGAUCACAUGUUUGGUACUGUUUACAUUGAGUCAUAACCUAUAUUUUUUCUCUCCGAUCUGAUCAAGUGUAAUCAUUUAUGAAUCAAUAACUCUUGAGAAAUAAUAACCAUCAUAAACAAUUAUGAAGCAAAAAUAACCAAGGAUUUGAGUUGACUGAGGAGAAAGAGCCGCCGACAAUAUGUGUGGAAUUACACGUUGGAUCACAUGUUUGGUACAGUUUACAAGAGUAAAGAAACAAACCAUCGAGUCAUAAUAAAUUAUAAUUUGCCCCUUUGAUCCGAUCAAGUAAUCACUUACUCCCUCCGUCCUAAUAAAUCGUAGGUCGUUUUGGCACUUCUAUAAUCAUAACUUUUGCUAUGCAAGCAAAAGUUAUGAUCCUAGAAAUGCCAAGGUGCAUAGCAAAAGUUAUGAUCCUACAAAUGCCAAAACGACCUAUAAUUUGGGACGGAGGGAGUAGGAAGCAAUAACAUGAUACCUGAAUUAUGAAAGAUUUGCAUUUGACUUUACCAAAAUCUCUUCCAACAAUAUGUGAGUCAAGUGGGGGUUUUUGCUCUGAUUCGUCUACAUAUAAUUUAGGGCUCCACUAAGUACGCAGUGUAGCACAUGCAUGCAACAUCGUCUCACAUGUAUCUUUCUGGAUCCAGUACUAAAGGUCCUCAGGCACAUUAGUACUAGUUGGAGGCUUCAACUGGUACUAAUGCGUAACCUUUAGUACCGAUGAAGCCUGCACCCGGUACUAAAGGGGAUCACGGGGCGCUACUGGGGAACUAGCCGUUAGUGCCGGUACUAAUACUCGGGUCAAAAACCAACCGGUACUAAGCCUCGGGAUGCAUGCUGAGCCUAGGGAUCCACACGCGUAAUUAUGAAGCAAUAAUUACAAGGAUUCAAGUUGACUCUGGAGAAAGAUCUGCCAGCGAUAUGUGAGCAAUUACACGUUGGAUCACAUGUUUGGUACUGUUUACAUUGAGUCAUAACCUAUAUUUAUUCUCUCCGAUCUGAUCAAGUGUAAUCAUUUAUGAAUCAAUAACUCUUGAGAAAUAAUAACCAUCAUAAACAAUUAUGAAGCAAAAACAACCAAGGAUUUGAGUUGACUGAGGAGAAAGAGCCGCCGACAAUAUGUGUGGAAUUACACGUUGGAUCACAUGUUUGGUACAGUUUACAAGAGUGAAGAAACAAACCAUCGAGUCAUAAUAAAUUAUAAUUUGCCCCUUUGAUCCGAUCAAGUAAUCACUUACUCCCUCCGUCCUAAUAAAUCGUAGGUCGUUUUGGCACUUCUAUAAUCAUAACUUUUGCUAUGCAAGCAAAAGUUAUGAUCCUAGAAAUGCCAAGGUGCAUAGCAAAAGUUAUGAUCCUACAAAUGCCAAAACGACCUAUAAUUUGGGACGGAGGGAGUAGGAAGCAAUAACAUGAUACCUGAAUUAUGAAAGAUUUGCAUUUGACUUUACCAAAAUCUCUUCCAACAAUAUGUGAGUCAAGUGGGGGUUUUUGCUCUGAUUCGUCUACAUAUAAUUUAGGGCUCCACUAAGUACGCAGUGUAGCACAUGCAUGCAACAUCGUCUCACAUGUAUCUUUCUGGAUCCAGUACUAAAGGUCCUCAGGCACAUUAGUACUAGUUGGAGGCUUCAACUGGUACUAAUGCGUAACCUUUAGUACCGAUGAAGCCUGCACCCGGUACUAAAGGGGAUCACGGGGCGCUACUGGGGAACUAGCCGUUAGUGCCGGUACUAAUACUCGGGUCAAAAACCAACCGGUACUAAGCCUCGGGAUGCAUGCUGAGCCUAGGGAUCCACACGCGUAAUUAUGAAGCAAUAAUUACAAGGAUUCAAGUUGACUCUGGAGAAAGAUCUGCCAGCGAUAUGUGAGCAAUUACACGUUGGAUCACAUGUUUGGUACUGUUUACAUUGAGUCAUAACCUAUAUUUAUUCUCUCCGAUCUGAUCAAGUGUAAUCAUUUAUGAAUCAAUAACUCUUGAGAAAUAAUAACCAUCAUAAACAAUUAUGAAGCAAAAACAACCAAGGAUUUGAGUUGACUGAGGAGAAAGAGCCGCCGACAAUAUGUGUGGAAUUACACGUUGGAUCACAUGUUUGGUACAGUUUACAAGAGUGAAGAAACAAACCAUCGAGUCAUAAUAAAUUAUAAUUUGCCCCUUUGAUCCGAUCAAGUAAUCACUUACUCCCUCCGUCCUAAUAAAUCGUAGGUCGUUUUGGCACUUCUAUAAUCAUAACUUUUGCUAUGCAAGCAAAAGUUAUGAUCCUAGAAAUGCCAAGGUGCAUAGCAAAAGUUAUGAUCCUACAAAUGCCAAAACGACCUAUAAUUUGGGACGGAGGGAGUAGGAAGCAAUAACAUGAUACCUGAAUUAUGAAAGAUUUGCAUUUGACUUUACCAAAAUCUCUUCCAGCAAUAUGUGAGUCAAGUGGGGGUUGUUGCUCUGAUUCGUCUACAUAUAAUUUAGGGCUCCACUAAGUACGCAGUGUAGCACAUGCAUGCAACAUCGUCUCACAUGUAUCUUUCUGGAUCCAGUACUAAAGGUCCUCAGGCACAUUAGUACUGGUUGGAGGCUUGAACUGGUACUAAUGCGUAACCUUUAGUACCGAUGAAGCCUGCACCCGGUACUAAAGGGGAUCACGGGGCGCUACUGGGGAACUAGCCGUUAGUGCCGGUACUAAUACUCGGGUCAAAAACCAACCGGUACUAAGCCUCGGGAUGCAUGCUGAGCCUAGGGAUCCACACGCGUAAUUAUGAAGCAAUAAUUACAAGGAUUCAAGUUGACUCUGGAGAAAGAUCUGCCAGCGAUAUGUGAGCAAUUACACGUUGGAUCACAUGUUUGGUACUGUUUACAUUGAGUCAUAACCUAUAUUUUUUCUCUCCGAUCUGAUCAAGUGUAAUCAUUUAUGAAUCAAUAACUCUUGAGAAAUAAUAACCAUCAUAAACAAUUAUGAAGCAAAAAUAACCAAGGAUUUGAGUUGACUGAGGAGAAAGAGCCGCCGACAAUAUGUGUGGAAUUACACGUUGGAUCACAUGUUUGGUACAGUUUACAAGAGUAAAGAAACAAACCAUCGAGUCAUAAUAAAUUAUAAUUUGCCCCUUUGAUCCGAUCAAGUAAUCACUUACUCCCUCCGUCCUAAUAAAUCGUAGGUCGUUUUGGCACUUCUAUAAUCAUAACUUUUGCUAUGCAAGCAAAAGAUAUGAUCCUAGAAAUGCCAAGGUGCAUAGCAAAAGUUAUGAUCCUACAAAUGCCAAAACGACCUAUAAUUUGGGACGGAGGGAGUAGGAAGCAAUAACAUGAUACCUGAAUUAUGAAAGAUUUGCAUUUGACUUUACCAAAAUCUCUUCCAGCAAUAUGUGAGUCAAGUGGGGGUUGUUGCUCUGAUUCGUCUACAUAUAAUUUAGGGCUCCACUAAGUACGCAGUGUAGCACAUGCAUGCAACAUCGUCUCACAUGUAUCUUUCUGGAUCCAGGAUAAGCACAUUGUUAAUUAUUCAUCCUCUGCCCAUUAACUGGAGUUCCAUUAAUAUAAUGACUAUCCAGUCCUGCUACACGUUACUAGAUCACACGGUUUGUUCUGUCAACCUGAGUUAAGAGGCACAUAAUGCUAGGUUGAAGUUCUGAGCUAAGUACCAUAUGUAUCCCAGAUCUGAUUAACCACUUAUUAUAAUUGAGAAUACAAGUUGUUUAGGACGUUGACACCGUCUACGGCUAGGUGAUGUUUUGAGAAAAAUUUCUGUGCCACCAUGAUGAUUAUGAUAAUGAUUUUUAUGUAUAGCAGAAGUUUUACGGAGCAUCUAGUAAUAAUUAUUUUGUAUGCUCAUUCUUCCGAAGAAAAUUACAUUAAUGGUCAAACUGAUGGAAAUUUUACUUGCAUGAAUCCUAAAACCUACCUUAUAUUUAUUAAUUGGGAGUGGUAAUUUAUAAAAACUAAACAGCCUGAUAAUGACUUUCGAAACCACAGCAAAGGAUUCCAACUGACCUACAUAGUAUAUUGCCAGCAUCAUGUGAGCUAUGUGUCCCUUGUUUCUUUGAUUCCAACUGGCCUUGGAGUUGCAAAUACUGUUGACUAGCUACUCCCAACCGAGUUAGGAAUAUCCCAAUUUAAUGCGACCAGGGGAGUAUGUGGUCUACAAUAUUUGCAACUCAAAGUAUAGACCGAUUGCAACUUGGACCAUUGGCCAGUGCAACUGCACGGUCGAAUUUAUUGCACUUAGAUAUUAAUGUGGGGAUGUUGGUGGCGUGCAGUAUAAGGCAGGGGGUUGUAUGAAAAAUGUUCCGAGGAACUGUGCCUAGCUGCUUGCACCGUAUAUCUCCGAUCUGACGGUCCAUGGUGGGAGUUUUCGGGAUUCCACCUACCAGAUGGUUUGCACUGCAUAUUUACCCCCAUAUAAAGUAUUCAACAAACAUGAGUGCAGCAUACCAGGGCCAUGUGAAACCAUGUUACCUUCUAUGGACUAGGGUAGAUCCCUCUAUAAAUACAACCCCCUUCUAUCACACUUCAAAUACGAUACGGGAGUAAGGAAAUAGAUACCCUACGAUCCUAGCUAGCCAUGGCCUCCUACUAUGCAAUAGCCGUGCUUUCAUUGCUUGCCUUUUCCAUCUCUGCAGUACGCGCGCUGGAUGACAUUGCUUGCCUUUUCAUUUUGGUAAUUUUUUGGAUCUCCCUUUGAUAAUUUUAAUUUAUUCAGUGCAAUUAUAGAAUUUUAAUGGAUAUAAAUUAAAUUUGAGUUGUAACUGCAUAAAAUAAUGGAAUAAUAUUUGUAGAAAAAUUAAGUAUAUAUUGUUGAGUGAAUUUGACAAGGUAUUUUCAAAGUACAUCAGAAUAAUUUUAGAAAAACACGUUAUGGAAAAGAAGGAAAAGAAGGAAAAUUAAAAAAAAGCAGGGUUUGCCGAAUGUCGAAUCAGGGAACUCGACAAACCCAUCUUUGCCGAGUGUCAGAUCUAAGAUACUCAGCCAACAAACUUCAUAUCCACCGGCGCGUCCCUCACCCCCCCCACACGCACACACGCAAACCCACCUGCACACACGCACCCGCACACCCGCUGCCAGCUCCCAAUGCCUUGCCGUAGGCACGUCCCGUGCCACCGUCCUCCCACGCCGCGCCCGCAAUGUGAACGGCAUCCUUGGUAUUUUGAUUAGGGAAAAGUCCCCUGGCCUGGUGCAGUUCGACGAAACUGUCGAGCCAGCCUACACGUGGGCCCACUAUGCUGCCAUCCCCAACGCCCUUGAUCGGGAUGGUAGGGUAUUCGCCAACAAGGUGUAGCGUUUCAAGGCCGAGCUUUGGGUAACUCUUUCUGGCACUACAUUGCUCAAUACAUGGCACUGAUUGGACAUUCUUGAAAUAAUGACUGGAUACAUCGCGUCUAUAUGCAAGAUUUCUUUAGAUGCAAGGAGGGAUACGAGGCCAAGGCGGAUGCUGUGGCUGACAAAUCUGCCAAGAAAGUCAUCAAGGACAUGCACUACGAGGCGCGCGUCCAGGCCGUGAUCCAAUACCAUGCAGACAUCCAUAGAGUGAGGAUCGCUAAAAGUGAGGCAAGAACCAUGAAGCUAACCCGGGAACAAUACAUGCAGGUAAAUAUAGAACAUUAAUACUUAUUUUUUCUAAGAUUAAUUACACUUAAUUUCAUUUUCUUAUAUGUCAUAUACUUGAUGACGUAGGUGCCUCCAUGGUGGUGCGCCCACGAUCUGCAGUGCUGGGCCCGAAUGGUGGACAGGUGGUGCGACCCCGCGUGGGAGGAGAAUCACAACACUUGCUGGGAGCGGCGUUUGUGGAUGAGGGGUGCACCACACCAUCAAGGCAACCUCAAACUCUCAGAAUACGUGGGUACACGAAUGCAUUUCUUUAUUCUAACGGUCAAUUCUCCAUAAUUUCUAAUCAUAUUGCUUUUUUUUGCAGUCGGCGGCACAUGGUGGCGAGCCUUGCUCCCAGUUCAAGGCAUAUGAUUUGGCCCACAAGGGCAAGGUGAUGGCUGACGUCGCCUACAACCCGGAUGACCCACCCUUGGCGUACAACUAUGAGUCCGUCCACAGUUGCCUUGAUGGAUACACAUCGAUGGCAAGGGCAGUCCAUGGCCCAGAGUACGAUCCGAGUGCCCAUGACCUUGAUGGAGAAGUGGUCAUGAGGACGGGAGGAGGCAAGAAGCAUGGCCGGUUCUAGAUUGGUGACGACACAAUCGACACGGCCAGUGCUCCGACUCUCUCCCAGCUUCGAGCACGGAGCACGAGUUCCAGCCCAGCGAUACGCCCCUGGCCGGACUCUACAAGGUUCCAGAUGAACGAACUCCAGGUUAUUUCUAUUUUAUUCAUCGUUCAUUGAUUUUUACAUACUUUUGCGUUGCAUUGUAACAUUAGGAUGAAAUAUUGUAGGCCCAGCUGGAACAAGAGAGGAGGCUACGGCAGGAGCUCGAGCGGAGGAUGGAGGCAGAGCGUUUGCAGAUGUUUGAAAUGAUGAGGGGUGUUUACGCUGCAAUCGGUCAACCUCCGCCACCGAUGCUAGUCCCUACUCCUCAACCUGCUCCAAAUACUCCACCAGGCACUGUGAGUGACUUCAUAAUCUUAUAAUCACCGUUUCUAGUUUAUGCAGAAUCAAUCUUUUCUCCUUUGUGAUGUGCGUUUCUAAUUUCUAGUUUAUUUCUAGUUUGUAGUUAACCUUGUAAUCAUUGUUUCUUUCUCAAUCACUUUAACUUAGCUACUUUCAGUUUUCGCAGAAUUAAUCACUAUUUCUAGUUGCUAGUUUAUUUCUAAUACUUGUAUGUUUCGUUCUUGUGAAUGAUUUAUCUCUUCUCCUUUGUGCAGAAUCAAUCUGCGGCAUCGAAUGAGCCUUAUGACCGACCGUGCUCACAAUGGUCACCAUGAUCACAGUGACUACGUUUAUUUGCAUUUAUGAUGAGCCUCGAGAGCGAUUGUGAACAAACCUACUUGUGAUUUUUAAGAGUAUUUGCAUUUGUGAUUGUGAACAAACCUACUUGUGAUUCUGAAGUUUAUUUGCAUUUAUGUGUUGUCGAUAUAUCUAUAUGAACUACCUAUGAUGCUUAUUGUGAACUAUCUGUGAUGGACGUAAUGUUUAUUUGAGUAUGGUAUGUUAUAUGUGACCGAACAAAAUAAAUUGGAUAUAUAUGGUAGCUUUGCCAAGUGUUACACUCAGCAAAAGCCCUCUUUGCCGAGUGCCAUGCGAAAUACACUUGGCAAAGGGGCCAUGUGGCAAAAAACUGUGCAUUCUGGGCUUAAAAUGGAAUCUUUGCCGAGUGUUAGGGCCUGUGAAACUCGGCAAAGGGGCCAAAAUCUGGGCCUAGAUUGGCAUGUUUGCCGAGUGUUAGGGCCAGGACACUCGACAAACAAAGGCAUGUUUGCCGAGUGUCAGGACUGGGAUACUCGGCAAACGGGCAUGUUUGCUGAGUGCCCAGGCCGUUAGACACUCGGGAAACGCGCCGUGAUCAUCUCCGCGCCGUCACAUUGCUUUUUUUUUGCUGAGCAUCGGGUGUAGCACUCGGCAAAGUCUUUGCCAAGUGCGUGAUAAAAAACACUCAGCAAAAAAACAUUUGCCGAGACUGUAGACGCCGAGUGCUUUGUCGAGUGCUUUUUGGGCUUUGCCCUGUGCCGUGGACACACGGGCAAACCUAUUGUUUCCGGUAGUGCGUUCUACACGUUCAUGGCACCCUAUGUGUCGAAAAAUCCACGAGCCGCGUAUAUCAACUACAUGGAUCUCGAUCUGGGCACCAAUGACUGGAAGAAUGCUACUGGUGGAACAUCUGUGGCCCAUGCAGCAUCAUGGGGCGAACGUUAUUUCUUCACCAACUUUGAUCGGUUGGUUCGGGCCAAGUCUAAGGUUGAUCCUGAAAAUGUGUUCAACAAUGCACAAAGCAUUCCUCCAUUACAUUAUGUUAGACAGCACAAAUUUAUAAGUGGCAUGUAACUACAAACAUUAAAUGAAUGGAUAAUCUGAUGUUUGGAGGAGUUCUUGUGUUGUUAAUGGUGUUCUUGUUUACCUUCAUAGUUCUACAAAUUUCUAAGAAAAAAUAGACAAACAAUACUUCAUCACCUUUUUCAAAUUAAGUUAUCUAAAUAAGUUAUUGGAAAAAUCUUUUAAAUACUUUAUGGGAUAGUUUGUUAAUAUUAUUUUGAAAAGUUAUAUAAAUAUUUUAUGGGGCAAGGGCGGCCGGCCGGUGGGGGGCGCCGGCGGUGCUCGCAGCGAGGGGUGAGGGUGGCCCGCGAGGUGGCGAGGGCGGCUGGCCGGCGGGGGGUGCCGGUGCUGCUCGCAGCGAGGGGGUGAGGGCAGCCAAUGGGGGGUGCGGGUGGCUCUCGCGGCGCACUAGCGGAGACAGAGUGAUAGUGGGUGUGGCUGGAACUGUGGAAUUAGAGAUUAUAUACUUAGGAUUCUUGUUGGGCUGAGCUAUACCUAGUUGUUGGACUGCAAUGUGCACUUCGGGCCCGUGAGUCACCCAUGGGGGAAAUUCAAAAUCCGCUCCGCCCCCGCCCCAUUUCGGGUCGCUGAACCCACAAACCCGCGGGGGGGAACAGACCCGCCCCCACCCCCAUUGGGUCCAAACCCGCCCGACUGCCAUCCCUAACUAGGGCACCAAAAGGUUUUUGAUUAUGGUCACUUUGGUCGCAUGGAGAAUAGUGCUCGAUAUUUUUCUGGAAGCUCGAUAUUUUUUUUUGGAAGGACAUAGAUGAAAUGCCAAUUAUGAACGAGCUUCGCUACUUGGAACUAUUUAACUGUGAACUCACUACCGCUGGACUGUCUGUCAUCCUUGACAAUUGCCCUCUACUGGAAUCGCUCCACAUUACAGGGCUUUCAGUUGGCAGGAUGAAAAAGAAUUUAAGGGAGAGAUGUGGUAGGCUGAAGGAACUAACUCUUCCUGCCCAUGAGUUAGCAGGUAACUCUUCCUGCCCAUGAUCUCUUUAAUCAGUGGGAGUAAGACUUUAAUUACAUAUAAAAGGUAUGCCUAGUCUUUUCGGGAUCUUUGUGUUGCAUUAUUGGUGAAGUCUAUACGAAAAGAUUGUAUAGUGGAAAGAGGAAGUACCUAGAUUUAGCUAAGGAAAGGUGCACAACUGGUGGUACGACUCCCUUCGUCCCAAAAAUAUAAGUCAUUCUCCGAUUCAAAAUUUGUCAAAAAACAAGUUAUUAUACUCAAUUUGGAAUGUGUACAUGCACAUGUGGACAGGGCGGCAGUCAAUUAGCACCAAAUAUGGUUAAUAAAUAGGGGCAAUCGAGGUUAUUUUACCUCCUUAUUAAUCUGUCCAAAAAUUCCUAGGAUGACUUGUUUUUUGGGACGGAGAAAGUAUGUUUGUAAAAAUGGUCUCGGACAACUUGCAUGUCUAUGAUGUAUAUAUUGUGGAGAGAUAGAAAAGUCCUUUUAGAGCUCUCACACAAUGAUUUAGCAUAUAUCCUUACAAUUUGAAGGAAUUCCUGGGGAUCACCCUGUUUGAGAAGCGUCCAUCCGUUAGAUGUCUUUACAUCCAAUGAAGUACUGAAUCAGGCAAUCAAGAAGCCCUUUCCUUGAAGUUAUUGAAAUUUCAGCCAUAUUUUUACAGAACAGUGACGUUCUAAUCUGUUUGCCAAGCUUGUUCCCGUCUGUAAAAACAUUCUCACAAGGUUGUAGUUUCAACGAUGUCAGAAUUGUUUGGUUGUGAACUGACUACUGGCAGACUGAAGAACAACAUUAUUGACAGUUCACCUCUACUAUAGUCUCUGCACGUUGAUGGCUCUUUCCAACUGGAGGGGUGAACGCUUGCAAGCAUUUGGAUCUCGUCUAAAUAUACAUAAAAUUUGCCAUUCAAAAAUAAAGUUAAGCAUCAAUCAUUAAUGUUUUAGCCGACCUCACAACCGACCUGAAACUGAAAGGCUAUACAUUUUUUAAAUAAUUUUCUGAAAACAAAUCAUUGACAGAGGAGUCCGAGUCACUUAAGGAGGAGAAAGGAUGGACUAAUUUGAAGUCUCUUCGCACACGAUUUCGAUUCCUGUUGUUACUGCCGAAGAUCCACGCGUUCCCAACCCAAGCGAUGGCCUCCUCCUCCGGCAGCUGCUGCCUCCGCCGCUGCAUGGAACCUCCGCCAGCGGCGAGGGACUGGGCGGGGCUGCCGCGCGACGUCCUGUGCAUCGUCUUCCUCAAGCUGGGCAUCCGGGAGAUCAUGCGCGGCGCCGAGUUCGCGUGCACGGCGUGGCGCCGCGUCGCGCUCAAGGAGCCCGCGCUGUGGCGCCGCAUCUACAUGCCCACGAUCUGGAGGUACUCCAAGACAUGGCGCCGCCCUGGACCGCGCCGCCGGCCAGUGCGUCGCCUUCACCGGACCCUGCGACAACCACUCCCUGCUCGACCUCGCCGAAAGGUAUUCAUCGUGUUCUUCGUUCUUGUUACCUUCUACUCUGAAAUCUGAAUGGAUUGGAGAACUUGCAAGCUCCAAUCCAGAUCUGUUGUUUCAUUACAUGAACUACUAUAAGUGUAUUGUUCUGACUCGAAGGUGUGUGUUCCUGCAGAGCACCGUCUUUGAAAAGCCUCGAUCUCUUCGACUUUGUUGCGUGCAAUGAAGUGUUGGACGAAGCCCUCAAGCAGCUCCCUCUCCUAGAAGAUCUUGAAAUUUCACCGGCGCAUCGCAGCUCCGACGACUCCAGAAGGCUGUUCCUUCCAGUUUGCCAAGCUUGUCCCCGUCUCAAGAAACUCGUGCUCGGGCGCCAGAAGGUUUUUGCCCAUGACUACUCUGACGACGGCGUGGAUGAUGGUGACCAGCAGCAGAGUCAUCGAGAGCGGUGGUCAUGGGAUUGCAUAUUUCGUCCCGCUGUCGAGAAACAAGCACUUGAAACUCCAGUUAUGUCCGAGCUACGCUCCUUACAACUGUUUGACUGUGAACUCAAUACUGCUGGACUGUACCAAAUCCUAGAUGUGUGCCCUCUACUGGAAUCUCUCCACGUUACAGGGCCUUCCGUUCAUGGCGAGAUGGAAAAGAAGCUAAGGGAGAUAUGUGCUGGACUGGGGAAAGGGAGUCUUCCUAGUCAUGAGGCAGCAGAUGAUGAAGGUUCAGAUGAUUACUGUAAUUCACAGGAGUAUGAUGACUGGAACUAAAGAGUAUUAUGCCUACUGAUCUUCUAGGGAUCUUUAGAGUUGCAACAACGGAAAUAAAGGUGCAUUGCUAUAAUGACAUUGUGUAACGGGGUCCUUUGCGGACUUGGGGCAUCAAUGUCACAUUUUAUUGAAUUUCAAGGCACCUACAAGUUUUACAUAUGUAUCUAUGAUCUGUCUAAUUUGACUCUGCUCAACUGAUGUUCUUGGCACUAGUUUAUUGUGCAUCACACAGAGAUGACUGUCUUAAAAGACACAGGCUGCCGUCGAGAUCUUUUUUUUUCCUUAUACAUUUAUGUGUCAUGUACUCAGGUCAACUCACAACUUUAUGAAUUCUACCAAGUGUGGAAUAGUGAUGAAAUGACUAGCUAUCUUUGCUGAAAGCAAUAUUAAUAGUCCAUCCCUUAACAUUGGUCGCAGUGAUGAUGUCAACGUGGAUGGCAUACGACAAUAGCAUCAGGGCUUGUUUAUGGACACGACGAAGACCAAGACGGCCAGCGAAUGGCGUUCAGCAUGAACUCCUCUCCGCAGCACCACCGGCCUCGUCUUGUUGGGCGGCAUCUUCACCGGCUUGUUUAUAGAAUGCUUGAUUUUACUGAACAUAUUUUCUGGAUAAAUUCAGAUGUUGCCUGGCUGAUAUAGGGAUUAGAAUUAUAUUUCUGAAAUUUUUUGAACAAAUCAAGAUACUGGAAUAUAUCUACAAAUUCUGAGCAUUGAUGCACUGUAGUCUUUUAUUUCUUCGAUCGAUUUCACAAUAUUUUGGUUCUUGUCAGACAGGCAACAUACCAACUGACAACGAAAAUAAGCAUCAAACCGUUGUGCACACAGCAAUAUGUCUCCUUGGGUUCUUCCAUGGGCUGCCAAACCUGAGGUCGUAGUCGUCCAUGGAGUCACACGGUAGCCACAGCGUCUUUCACCCUAGUAGCACCCUAACGGAAGUAUCAUGAACUAAAGAUAUUGUCCGGAUCUCCUGGGCUCCAUGGCUCAACCUCAGGGCUGCCUGUGGCUCCAUCUCAGGGCUUCCAAACCUGAGGUCGUAGUCGUGCAUGGAGUCAUGCGGUAGCCUCAGCAUCCACACCCUAGCACACUUGGCACGCAUCUCAUCGUCCAUCUCGACGUUGAAGCAGUGGCGGAUGUCGAGGGACUCGAGGCCAGCGCAGCCACCGAGGAUGGCCGCGAGGCUGGCAUUGCUGAGGCUGUUGCCGAAGAUCUGCAGCGACCGGAGGCUGCACAUCCCGGUGAUCCCCAUGGCACGCCGCCGGACCGCCAGUCGAAGCAGUACCUGCUCAGCCGGAGGCGGUUCAGGAGCGGGCAGGCCUCGGCAGCGGCCGCACAGGUCUCGGCGAGGUUGAUGAGGCCAUGGUUGGUGGCGGCGCCGGAGUAGAGUGAAAGCUCGAGAUCCUAAGCACGGGGAGCUCCCGUAUCCCUCCGUGGAAGAAAAGGAGGAAACAUGGUGCCUAUCUUGACUCACCACGGUUGCACGUUUAUAUAUGGUGAAAAUCACCGAGAGUUUUACAAGGAUACAAUCAUGAUCACCUAGGACUCGGUUUGCUUUAUAAUUCGUAUUACACAAGGUUUAUCUCCAAGCAACCGAGUCUAUCUCUAAGAUCACAAUUGUCACGCACGUGCACGAGUUUAUCUCCAACACUCUAACGCACGGCACAUUACCUUAUUACAACCAUGAUUCUAACAUCCCUCCCUCAAUCUAAACUUCUCUACUUCUUGAGAUUUAGAUUGUGCUUAAAAUCUUCAAACUCCCCAGUUGUCAAGGCUUUAGUGAAACCAUCUGCAACGUGAUCAUGAGUAGAUACUAACUGGACUUGUAAUUGUUUCUUAGUAACCCUCUCACGUACAAAAUGAAAAUCAAUUUCAAUGUGCUUUGCACGAGCAUGAAAGACUAGAUUUGCUGAAAGAUAUGUAGCUCCCAAGUUAUCACACUAUAAUAUGGGCGGCUGUGUUAAUUUUACUCCAAGCUCAAGCAGCAAAGAUUCCAACCAAAUCAGCUCCGCAGUAGCAUUAGUUAUAGAUUUAUAUUCUGCUUCAAUACUAGAUCUUGAAACUAUAGCUUGCUUUCUAGCACUCCAAGACACUAGAUUAGGACCAAAGAAUAUUGCAAACCCUCCGGUAGAUUUUCUAUCAUCAACACUACCAGCCCAAUCAGCAUCAGAAAAUGCACUCAAAGUUGUCGAAUUUGCCUUCCUCGUAUGCAACCCAACAUCCAAAGUGCGUCAUAGAAGAAAUUGAAACAUGAAGAGUGGCGCACUAUCAUGCUGUAUGUAUUGACCAACCUAUCCGAGGUGGAGCCGUACAUACUGUAAGUUCUCAACAAACUUGUUUGUUCUCAAUUAGUCACUAUUCUGCGUCCAACUUGCAUAUUUCUCGUUGGUACAGGAAUUCCAUCGUAACUUCUGGCGUAAAUCAAGGGAACCUACCCCGCACGAAGCGGAGACUCUUCUCAAAGAGGGUACGGGAAAUGGAAUGCCCGAUUUCAUUUCAUGGUUCAAACAUAAGGUACAGUCAAAUUUAGCUUGUACUUAGGUUGAUAUUACAAGUUGCUCGUACAUACAACAUAAUAUAAUGAACCACCCUACUUCAACUUGCAGGGCUAAACCGAUGCGUCUAUGAAUGUCAAGUUGAGAUAGGUUGCUGAUGGCUAUGCCUAUAGGGUCAGAUUGUUUACCGGUUAUGACGUAAAUGGAUAUCGCUUUCACACAACAAGCCAUGAGCAGAGUCGGCCCAAUCGAAGAACGACAAAUACCGGAGUUUUUACGCCAGGCUUUGAUGGUGUCGAGUACUACGAAAGAAUUGAAGAAAUAUACGAACUAACUUUUCAUGGUUGCAAAGUUCUUAAUCCAGUCAUAUUCAAAUGCCAUUGGUUUGAUCCAUCAGUCAUGAGAUGGGCCCCUAAUCUUGGGUUAGUCGAAAUUCGGCAAUCAUCCGUCUUACAAGGAGAUGAUGUCUAUAUUGUGGCUCAACAGGCCACACAAGUUUAUUAUUUGCCAUACCCGUGCCAAACCGACGACCGUCUUAAGGGUUGGUAUGUUGUGUACAAGGUAUCGCCACACGGUAAACUACCUGUACCAAACAAUGAAGAUUACAACAUUGACCCCAACACAUAUGAUGGAGAUUUUUUUCAAGAAGAUGGGCUCGACGGGAUUUUUGAGAUUGACUUAACCGACGCUUUCGGAAUGGAAGUAGACAAUGAAAGGGUUGCUGACGAUGACGCUGGAGAGGAGGUUCAUAAUAUGAAGGAGUUAGAAUUACUUCAGCGGUUACAGUUAGGACAGGACAUUGAUGAUGACACUCCUCCUUCGGAGCACGGGAAUGAUUUUUUUGACACGCGUGACAGUGAUGAUGAGACUUAUGAUCCAGCUAAUCUUGAUCAUGAUGAUUAUUUCUAAGACAUGUAUGGGCCGUACUAAUUUAUUUAUUAUUUGUCAUACCAUGUUAUUUUUUAAGUAUGUUUAGUUUAUUUUGCACAUCUUCCUAAUUAUGUUUUGUUUAUCUGUGCUGAUUGGUUUACUCUUUGUAAAUGUAGGUGAUUGAACAAUGGUGGGCGGUACGAGGAAGAUUGCAGCGCUUUACGAAAAAUUAAAAGCUGCAGCUUCAGGGUCAGACGCAUUGAGAGGUCGAGGGAGGCGUCGAGGGAGGGGUGGAGGCAGGGGUGACGCACAGGUACAGGAAACGGAGGGGGCACAUGUCCUGGCUAGAGGCAGGGGUCGAGGCAGGGGUCGAGGAAAGGGUAAAGGGGUGAGGCUCCCGUUGCCUGUACCUUCGGCCCGGUCAUCGUCAGAGGAGGAGGUACCUUCCGCGCACGCCUCUAGUGACGAGGCGGAGGUAUAGGAGGAGCAGGAGUAGGAGCGGGAGCAGGAGCAGGAGCAGGAGCAGGAGAGGGAGGAAGGGGAGGAGGCAGGGGAUUCGCAGUUCAAGAUCUGGUUGCGAGGUCCCUCAUCCCUCCCGAGGCGACCGAUCCCUCUUCAUUUACGCCAACUGAUUCAACCCACUGGGGCAAAGUAAGUUCCUUUACAUAUUCUCAGUACUUUUGAUAUGUUAAAAUUUACAAUAGAAACUAAUAAUUUAUAUUAAUCACUUGUGUAGGAGUUGGAUUAAGCUCAAUGGGGGUGGCCACAACCGCAAGGUCAAUGGCAUUAUUGGUCUUUUGUGUAGGCUACACUUCCCUGGUCUAGUGGUCUUCGCUGGACAGGAGGAGCCGGCCUACACGUGGGACCACUACGUCGCCGCCGCCGACGUCGGUGAUCGUGACCACAGGAUAUUUGCGAACAAGGCGGAGCGGGUGAAGGCCGAGCUGUGGGUAAGUAUUCGCCGCACUACAUUGCUUAAUACAUCAGCUUCACUAGACGUUCUUGAAAUAAUAAUUGUAUGCAACAUGUCUAUACACAGGACUUUUAUAGAUGCCAGGAGGGAUUCGAGGCUAGGGCUGCCUCGAUCACUGAACAAGCCGGCAAGAAGCUCGUUAAGGACAUGCACUGCGAAGCACGGGUUCAGGCCAUCAUUGACUUCUAUGCUCAAUACAGAAGGAUGAGGGUCAAAAAAGAAGAGGUUAGGACAAUGAACCUGACCAAGGAAGAAUUCAUGGCGGUACGUACAAAAAGUUAAUAUUUACUAUUUUUGAGAUUAAUUACGCUUAAUUUCUGUUGUUAUAUGUCACACACUUGAUGAUGUAGGUGCCUCCGUGGUGGUGCUGAUCCUAUACCCGGUGCUGGGAACAAAUGGUGGACGUGUGGUUGCAGCCCGGGUGGUUGGAGAACCACAUUGCUUGCCGGGAGCGGCAUCUGCAGAUGCCAUAUGCAUCACACCAUCAAGGCAGCCUGAGCCGCAGCCUGAGCCUUGAUGAAUACAAGGAAAAAUGGGAACACGAAUUCAUUUCUUUAUUCUCACACAUAAUACUGCAUAUUUUGUAAUCCUUUUGCAUUUUUGCCGCAGACGUCAUCACAUGAUGGCCAGGAGUGCUCUCGGUCAAGGCAUGGGUUAUGUUCAAAAAGGGCAAGGCCACGGCAAACAUCGACUUCAACCCGGAGGACCCGCCCGAGGUGUACAGCCAUCCAAGCAUCCACAGCCGCAUCACCGAGUACACAUCAAUGGCAAGGGAGGUUCAUGGGACAUUUGAUCUGAGCUCUCAGGAUAUUGAUGCAGAAAUUGUGAUGAGGGUGGGAGGAGGCAAGAAGCAUGGCUGGUAUUGGAUUGGAGAUAGCGUGAUCGACACUGCCAGUACUCCCACUCUCUCCAAUAUCCGAGCAAGGAGCACGGACUCGAGCCCCACGAUACGGGCACGGACUACCACUACACAGUUACAGAUGCAGGCUCUACAGGUUAUUCCUGUUUGUUCAAUUUUUCGUUGAUUUUUACGUACCUUUUGCUUUGCAAUAAGACAUUGGGAUUAAAUAUUGUAGGCCCAGGUGGAGGUAGAACGGAAGCGACGGGAGGACCUAGAGGCGAGGAUCGAGGCGGAUUGGCAGCUAGAAAGGCAGAGGACGGAGUCGAUGUCCAGUACAUGCAGAGUGUUUUUCACAGUUUAGGUCAAACUCCACCACCUAUGCCACCGAACCUAUUCCCGCCACCUCCACCUCCUAUAGCUACUCCUGUGAGUCACUCUCAACCUUACAGUCAAUCUAGAGUUAAACUAGAAACUACAGGCACUAGAAACUUAAACUAGAAAAGUGACUAAUGCAAUCUCUUUAACUUUGUGCAGAAUCAGUUGGCGGCGUCCAAUGCAGAAUCAUCCCGGGGGCAGUGGCCACCUGCACAUCCUCCUCAGUGACUUGUUAUUUGUGUGCUUGUGAUGCAAACUUGUGAAUUACUUAAUGUUAUUUGUGUGCUUGUGAUGCCUGUGGUGCAAUUUAUAUGCCUGUGCUUCUGUGGUUGUUUUUUGAGAGGGGUCCUUUAUACGUAACAUUUCUAUUUUGCAGGAGGUGAAUGGACACUUUGCCGAGUGUUGAGGCUAUUUUUUGUUACUGUUUGACGACUUUGCCGAGUGCAUCGUCACAACACUCGGCAAAGGUGUCAUAAAAAUCUGGCGAAAGGGGCUUGUUUGCCGAGUGCCAAGGGGCAGGUACUCGGCAAACAAUGGAUCUUCGCCAAGUGUCACUGACAAAACACUCGGCAAACGCGUCAUAAAAAUCUAGCGGAAGGGGCUUGUUUGCCGAGUGCCACGAGGCAGGCACUCGACAAACCAUGGAUCUUCGCCGAGUGCUAGUCAAAAAUACACUCGGCAAACGUUAAAUUUUCGCCGAGUGUCUUCCGUCUGGCACUCGGCAAAGGCGUCGUUUCCGUGACAGUCCGUUAUCGCCUUUGUGCCGAGUGUUUUAUUUUGUUGAGUGUUUUCCAGCACUCGGCAAAGCGUUUGCUGAGUGCCCGACAUUCGACACUCGGCAAAUACACUGUUUGCCGAGGGAAAGUUUGCCGAGUCCAGUUCGCCGAGUGUUACACUCGGCAAACUCUUUGCUGAGUGUAUUUGGGCCUUCGCCGAGUGCCUGGGGCACUCGGCAAAAGUACUAUUUCCGGUAGUGUCUCAAGAUUUACGACUUUCCCGAUUUUCACAGAUGGACCCAUGUUUUUUUUUGUUUUUGCAUAACGUCUUUAUGCUAGUUAUUACAACUUCAUGGGAUUUUAACUUAUCACAUAUACCCCCAAUCUUAGGUACCGCAAUGGAUCAAUACCCAAUUCCCUUGCCAAAGUCACCUGUGGGAUUGGUCUCAGCUCCCACUAGACCCUCUUUCCUCAAUCUUCAUGAAGCUGGGGGCCAUUGAGAUCCUGAUGAGCGCAGGUCUUGUGUGCCGCUCAUGGUUGGCGGCUGCAAGGACACCUGAACUAUGGCGCUUUGUGGACAUGACAUGCCACAAAUCGGUCUUCUUGAAGAACGUAGGUACCAUGUGUGCCAUGGCAAAAGUGGCUAUAGAUCGCUCCGGUGGACGUAUGGAGUCAUUCUGGGCUCAGCAAUUUGUUACUAGGUGAACUCUUGGAUUACAUUGCCAGCAGGUAUGGUUCUUUGCCAUGCUAAAUGUCAAUUCCAGCAUUGAACCUGUUUUGGGGCUUUAAGCAUUUAAAUUUUGCUGGAUUAUCAGUUUUUAGUGAUGUGAUAUUUUCAAUGUAUAACCCCACUUGGUAAUUUACCAUUUGCAAUCAUUGACACGCCUACUGCUUCUAACCCCACUUGGUGAAUUACUCCUCGUUUUUUCAACUUUGUGAUUUUGCCUUCAAUUAUUCACAAGUCAAUGCGAUUUCGCUCCUAGUCAAUGGUCAAAAUAAGGGUAAAUACACGAAGACCAAGGGCAAAAUCACAAUGACUUGUGAAUAAUUGACGGUAAAAUCACAAAGUUAAAAAAAUGAGGGUAAAAAUACAAUUGCACUUCAGAGUCGUAGGGGUAAGAUCACAAAAAAACCUUAAUUCUAUAACCUGAUUAAUAGCAGGCCACAAAUUCGUUAAAUUCACAUAAUCAUGAUAUAUAAUGUUUAGGCAUUGGCUUAACUCUGCUGGUAUUUGGUAUUGCCCAGUUCAUUCCCUUGUCCUUUUUUGUGCUUAUGCAUGCAGGGCCAAUAUUCUUUGUAGGGCAUUCGACUCAUCGCAUGCUUAUACAUUUCGGAUACGUCACUGGUUAUUAAGGUUGCAGAAAAAUGCCCGCUUUUGGAGGAGAUAGAGUGCUCAUAUCAUGCACGGCCAGCAGAGUUUUACGGAUAUGUUGGCAAUGUGCGCCCCCAGCUGAGGCGCCUAAGAAUCCAUGUCGAGAAGGGGUAUGAUUCUGAUGAGAUCGAGCGUGAGAUGGAGGAGGAACGUCGCCAGCAAUUGGGUUCCGAUGAAGAAGACGAAGACGAGGAAUCUGAGGAGGAAUCUUUCGAAUCUUGGGAGGCGAGGAAAAAUAAGGAUGCCUUUGCCAUCGCAGAGAGCUUGCACGAGCUCCGGCUUCUUCAGAUGGCAGGCAACAGCCUGACAAACAAAGGGCUCUACGCCAUCCUCGACGGCUGCCCCCACCUCGAGUGCCUCGACAUCUCCAGCUGCUCCAAUCUCCAUGUGGACAACAAACUCCGAGCUCGAUGUGCAAGGCUCAAACACGUCUGGUUACCCGGACAGCUGAAUAGGGUUCGCUGCCCUGAUCUUCAUGUCAUCAGAGAGCACGAGGGUGAAGACUACAGCAACAUUGUGCGGAGCCUUUCAGAAGACGAGGAUAUGCAUCUGUGCGCUGAGGGGAGACGGAUGAUGGUUCAUACGGCGGCAACUACUGGCAGGACUACUCCUCAUCAACCCCGUCGUCCCCUGACGAGUCCUCCGGCCCUGAUGAAUUGAACAAACUGACCUGUGAUGACACUAGGUUCUAUACUGACAUCCAUGAGUACUAUUCUCUGUGAUCAUCCAUGCGUCUUGUUUGAACUUUGAACCAUCAUGGUGUGUGCUUUUUUUUAGUUUGUGUCGUGAUGUGUGGUCUCUUAAGUUGUGUUAUGGUUUGUCCUUUUAAACUGCUUAAGUUGCUAUCAUAUUGGUCCCGUUUGUUUCCGCUUAUAAGCGGCUUAUCGGUGGAAAUAAGCGAGAAUUCCGAUUCCCGCCAAAUGCUUGGAUUAUUUCCACCUAUUCUCGUUUACGUGGUAAGCCACUUCAGAGAUUUGAACUACGAGAAGAAAAAGCGAGAAGCGAGAAAAUCUUCGCUUAGUAUAGAUUAUAAUUCAAGUAUGGCUAGAAGAAACGUAUCUAAACAGGGUUUUACAUCUCGCCUUGUAUGUCCCACUUUGGAAAGUUGGAUUCUUUAUUCGGUUGCUGUGAAAUUGAACAGAUUUACAUGUGCACAGGUCACAAGCUUUGUAUCACUUGAUGGCCCAUUAACAUUCUGUUUUGGGCCUUUUGGACUUGUGCCUGUUCAUGGAAACAUGUAAGCAAUUGUUGUCCCCCCUCGUCGGCCUUCAAGAACAAAACACAGGUUUUGUAAGAGUUCACUGACAGUGACAGAUAACAAUCACGAUUCUCCUUUUCCAAGAGACCAAGACUCAAACAACAUCCUGGCCAAUCUUUGUAAAGUUUUAGUGGUAAAAAAAAUUAAAUCCCGUAGGUGUAGUUGCCUAAAAAUAUGUAGCUUUAUUACAGUAAAAUUCUGAGCAGCAAUUCAUUGAUUAAUAUAUCAUGUGUUACAAAAUUUUCAUCAUAAGACUUUUUUUAAUAUAAAUCUAAUAUCAUUUCAUUGAAACGUAAUUCAUUUUUUAUUACUAGAGAUCCAUUCUAUAUAAAUGAUUUACUUAUAUUUUUUUGUGACUCCUUUGUUAAUACGUGCCAGGUGGAUUUUUCAUUAAUAUUUGAGUACUAGAGCUCAUUCUAUACAAGUGAUUUACUUUUUUUAUGGCUCCUUUAUCAAUACUAGCACAAAUGCUCCUGCGUUGCUACAAUAAAAUAUUAAUUUUACUAUAUUCACCAACAUGAACAUUAGAUAUAUUUUUAGAGUUAUGUAUUCAUCUUGUAGCUAUGGAUGUUUUGUCCAUUUGAUACACAUUGUUAGCAACGAGAAAAUAAUAGAGAGUUAUGGUUUAAAAUAAAUCUUUAAAAUAAAAUAUACCUGAUAUUGAUAAAACAGGUUAAGAAUUCAUUGAUUAAUCUUGUGAAAUAUAUAGCUGUAAAUCACAAUUACACCUCAAAACAGGGUUGAGAAUGCAAAUACCCCAAACUAUUGUUUUACCCGAUACUAAUGUUGUUUCGAGCAACGCAGCACUAGCUGUAUUUUUGGAAAGAUAAAAACAAAGAACAGUCUUGCAUAAUCUCUUCGUGCUGUGAAUAUACCAACAUAAAUCCACAUAUAAGGGUCAUCUCUUCUAUUAUUUUCCAUUGCAAACUUGCCGGGACGGUGGCCGGCCUUUGGCAAUUUCUCGAGAACAUGUGCAAUCCUUUGGACACUUGAAACCAGCAUCCAGCUCAGGUCCUGUUUGUUUCAGCUUCUCGGAUCAGCUUUUCGACUUCUGGCAGUCAAAAACUGGAAAGCUGAAACAAACAGUCCAGCUGUUUAGCUAGCUUUCGGAAAGCUGGACACCUAGCUUCUGAGGAAAUAAACUGAAAGUUGGAAAGUUGGCUAAGAGGAAUUUUUCCUGACUUUUGAUGUGCUGAGAAGAUAAAAAUUUAUUACAAAAACCAAUAGCAAAAUCUCAGCAAUCAAAAAGCCAGCUUUCAGAAAGGUAGCUUUCCAGCAAAAAGCCCAAAAGGAGAAGCUUAAACAAAGGCCUUAGUUCUGGGUUUAAGCCAUUUAUUUAGGCCAUGUUUGGUUCCUUUAGUCCAUGGACUAAAGUAGCUGUUUGGUUCAUUGGACUAAAGUGGACUAAAGUACUUCAAUGUUGUUGAACAAAGACCCUUUUACCGUUAUUCCCAACCCACCCAUGCGCUGCCUCCUCCUAGCACCAAGCACUGCCCAUCUCCUCCGGCACCUUCCUCCUACCACCCCUCCACUACCACCCCUCCACACUGCUGGCCUCCCUUCCUCCCUCUCCCUGUUCUCCGUGCGCUGCCCCUCUGCGUGCCGCUCGCCAUUCCUCCACGCCGCCUCCCAUCAUCCUUCCACGCCGGCCUCCCUCCCUCGCCGGCACCUCCUUUACCUCUUCCCAACUGACCUCUCCCUCACCUCGCCAAUCCUGCUCGACCCCGCCACCCCACCACGGUAAUCGACGUGGCGAUGUUUGUAGGGCGCCGAGGGCGCGGAGGUCGAGGAGGUGGAGGGGAGGAGCGAGGAGGAUUGAGAGAGGAAGACGGUGUGGUCGAAGUUGGGAUCGUAGACCUGGUCGCUGUAGGCGGCGUGGAAGAGCUCGACGCGGUCGAUGUCAAUGGCGAUCUGGUGGCCGGGGCCCGCGGAGGCGAAGGCAUGCGAGGCGGCGUGGGAGGGGUAGAAGAUGGCGGCACAGGAGAGGCAGGUGUAGAGGCGGGGAAGUGGGACGGGUCACGGUGGCACAAGGGGAGCAAUGCAGGAGCUCGCGCUUGAGCGGGCGCACGCGGAGGCAACGACGGAGGAAGCGCAGCGGGUGCGAGGCAAGGCGGCGGCGUGGAUGAGGUGGACAUCAGGGAGGGGAGGGGACCGGACUGGUGCGGAGUAGGAGGGUGCGGGGAGGGGGGCAGGGGACGACAUCAAACGAGGGGUAGGGAUGUCCCCAACCCAAAUUAGUUCACUCCACUUUAGUCAAGUGUUUGGCUGUUUAGUCCAAGAUUUUAGUUCAAAAGGUUUUAGUUCAUAGGAACCAAGUCCUAACUUAUGGUUUCCAUAGGUAGUCUUUAACCAUGUCAACAAAAUUUACUCUCGAAACUAUCACUCCAACCAAUGUUUAACAAAAAGAGGUAAGUGCUCAACUCCCCGGUCCCACCUACCAGCCAGUGCUACAAGAACCUUCGAGUUACCCCUACGCGGCCCUACCUCCCGGUCCCAUCGGAUACGCUGGUUCGUCUUCUCCGCCUGGUGCCCUCCCCUGAUUCGGCGGUACCUGCUCGUGCCCGUCGCCGCGUCUUCCGAGGUAACCCCCCGAACGAUCACCAGCCGACCACCGUCAUCCUUCAUCCCUACUCAUAGAUUUUUUCCUCAACUGUUUCUCUUCGCUCCGGGGCCAGGGUUUUUUAUUUCGCUGGGGUAGAGGCCGGCGCUUCUCCGUUCAAUUUCUUGGCGGCGGCGGGUGGGUGGUUUCUUGCGUGUCCUUUUGUUCGAUUCCUUUCCCCUUUUGGCCGAUUUCGCGGCCCCUUUUGUUUGAUUGCGACGUAGCUAGGGCUUGCCGGCUGGGGUUUUGCGGCCUGUCGAGAUUGGGGGCUCUUCUUGGCGCCGGUUCCUGACUGCGACAGAUUGAACAGCGGUAAAUAAAACUGCGCGCGUCGGGCGGUUGUGUUCGUAGUACUAGUGUAUUGUCCUAAUAAGAUUGUACUAAUAAACUACCGCUACUCUCCUUAUGUUCAUCGAGGAGAGUCCAUUGCAUACACUAUCGCUGAAAUUACAAAAUGUGAUCACGCUGGGCAAUAACGCCUCGGCAGACUGCCUCUGUGGCCGGAUCGGAGCUAGAUCAAAUGGAAGCCAGCGGCCACGAGCUUCCUAUUUUGACGCAUGGUUGAUUGGGUGAUCGAGUAGGCGAAGGGUUUAGGGUACUGUAGGUAUUUUACUAUUUACCUAUUUAUUAUACUUAAUAUAUAUAUAAUAACCGAGUAGAAAAGGUCAAAAGGGUAAAUCCACAUCGUACCCCUACUUCUUCCCGUUGGAAGAAGCUUCGACGUCUCACGGCGGCGGCGGUGGCCCACCUGCACAAGGAGCACAAUCCCCUUGGCUCUCAAGGAUUGCCUGGAGAACCCGCGACCAUCUCACGGUUAAUUACUGGCCACCCUAACCGCAUUCUGGAAUUAGUAUCAAUCUGGGAUGUAUGUUUCAUCUUCUUCUUUCUUUGGGAGAAAGGCACGAUGCAAAAGCUUUGAUUUGGUUCUUCACUUGUAUUGUUCCGAUAGAUCUGUUAGGAAAAUUUAAAAAAUUAGCAUUGUUUCAUCUUUUUUUUUUGAAACCUUAUUGUUUCAUCUUUAUGAUUGGAAGAAAAUAAUAACUCCAUCGUACGUUGUUUCUACUUGUUUCUACUUGUUCUUAUUGUUUCAUCUUAUCGUACGUUGUUUCUAAUAGGUUGAUUUUCCAGUGAACUUAGAUCAUGAUUUUUUUCUUAACUCAUAACUCAUGGUUGUGAUUCUGCAGGUACAAGCAUAAGGAUCGGAGGAGAAAUCACAGGAACAACAACAGUUGGAACAAAAAUAAGAGUGUGCGCUGAGGUGGUCACACAUGGGAAACAAGUCCCAUAGUUCAACAGCACCUGUCAAGCAUAGCAGGCAUAAACGGCUCAUAAACGACACCUAAUUCGCCGCCAGAGUAUGCAAGGCUGUGACACCGGCCAUCUGCGAAUUCUACGCCCAAGGCAGUGCAAGCAUGUCACUUGAGGACUUGUACAGGUGAUCAAUCACCUCUCCCAAGAUUCUCUCUUUCCUUCUGUCUUCCCAGUUGAUAUAACUGAUGAAUGUCUAUUGAGUCGACAGGGAUGUUUACAAUAUGGUCCUGCAUAGGAAGGGCGAAGAGCUCUACUCGGUGACGGAGACCGCCAUGGCCUCGGAAGUGCAGAGCCUCUACAGGCCUCUGGACGACACUGCUCCGGAGGAAGAUGAUACCUUGUUCUUGCAGGAGCUUCCUUGCCAUCCCACCUACACACCACAUCUGACUAUAUAAGGGAUCAAAUCCUUUUAUACUAACUCGCGGGGGACCCUUUGGAACACCAACCGGGAUAAUGUGCAUUUACGUAUAGGAGUUGUUUGAAACCAUAGAUGCAUGACUUAGUUCCUUUGAUCUGAAUACUAGUCUGUUGGGUCAAGGGUCUCAAGGAUUUACUUCUGCCCCAGCCACACGUGGGGUACCCUUAUAUCCCGGUUGGAAACACCAACUGGGAUAAAAGACCCCCUUUUAUCCCGGUUAGUGUUACUAACCGGAACUACAAAGGUUCCAGAAAAAUAAAUAAUUAUGCCAGCCCGUGCUGGACGCCCGCCCAUGCCGGCUUGCCCGCGGCCACACGGCUGCGCCGACUGCCCGUGGCCGCCCGCCCGCCUGCUUCGCCUGGAAGAAAGAGAGGAGGAGCAGGGAAAUAAGGAAGAAGAGAAAGAGUGCCUGCGCGAGAUAAGGGUGGGGAGAGAAUAAGGUCGAGAGAGAGAGGGGGGACAGCCCCGAUUGGUGAAGCGAUGCAUUCUUUAGUCCCGGUUGGUAAUUCCAACUGGGACUAAUGGGGGUCUUUAGUCCCGGCUGGUGUUUUCAACCGGGACUAAACGUCUCACCAGAUUCCCCCAUCCCACUAGCUGUUAGAACCGGGACUAAAGGGUCUCUUUAGUCCCAGUUGAUAUUACCAACCGGGACUAAAGCUCCCGUCGUCGGUGGCCGUCAGUGGUGGCCACUUGACCCAGGACUAAAGGCUCUUUAGUCCCGAGUCCAAAGACGAUCGGGACUAAAAACGCUGGAUGGAAGGUCUCUUCUCUACCAAUGAUAUGUGAGUCAAGUGGGGGUUGUAGCUCUGAUUCGUCUACAUAUAAUUUAGGGCUCCAAAAAGUACGCGGGGUAGCACAUGCAAUAUCGUGUCAUAUGUAUCUUUCUGAAUCCAGGAUAAGCACAUUGUUCAUUAUUCAUCCUCUACCCAUUAACUGGCAAAGGUACCAGAAGUUCCAUUAAUGACUAUCUAGUGCUGCUACACUUUAUUAGAUCACAUGGUUUGUCUGUCAGCCUGAGUUAAGAGCACAUAAUGCUAGGUUGAAGUUCUGAGCAAAGUACCAUAUGUUUCCCAGAUCUGAUUAACCACUUAUUAUAAUUCAGAAUACAAGUUGUUUAGGACGUUGACACUGUCUACUGCUAGGUAAUGUUUUGAGAAAAAAAUCUGUGCCACCAUGAUGAUUAUGAUAUCCCAUCUGAGUUAGGAAUAUCCCAAUUUAAUGUAACAAGGGGAGUAUGUGGUCUCCAAUAUUUGCAGCUCAAUGUAUAGACCGAUUGCAACUUGAACCAUUGGCUAGUUGCAACUACACGGUCGAAUUUAUUGCACUGAGAUAUUAAUGUGGGGAUGUAGGUGGCGUACAGUAUAAGGCGGGGGGUUAUAUGAAAAAUGUUCUGAGGAACUGUGCCUAGCUACUUGCACCGUAGAUCUCCGAUCCGACGGCCCAUGGUGGGAGUUUUCAGGAUUCCACCUACGAGAUGGUUUGCACUGCAUAUUUACCCCAUAUAAAGUAUUCAACAAACAUGAGUGCAGCAUACCAGGGCCAUGUGAUACCAUGUUACCUUCUAUGGACUAGGGUAGCUCCAUCUAUAAAUAUAACCCCCACUAGUAGAAAACUGAGUAUUAGUCCCGGUUGGAAGGGUGCAAAUCUCUCGAAAAACUAUCCGGGAUAAAGUAAUCGAGACAAAAGGGGGGUGUCUUUUAUCCCACGUAACACCAACCGGGACUAAAUGGGUCGCCACGCCAGGCGUGGUAAAGGCCCCCUUAUAUCCUGGUUAGUAAUACCAACCCACACGCGCAAGUCACAGGUCACGCGAUUUUCACACGAAAUAUGCGCGUGCGCGGUUCGUGAGAUUCGAACCCACGACCUCAAGCCUCGUGCGUAGCUUCCUAGCCAUCCCACCUACACACCACAUCUGACUAUAUAGGGGAUCCAAUCCUUUUAUACUAACUCACGGGGGACCCUUUUAUCCUAGUUGGAAACACCAAUCGGGAUAAAAGACCCCCUUUUAUCCCGGUUGGUAUUUCAACCCGGGAUAAAAGGGUCUCAAGGAUUUACUUCUGCCGCAGCCACAUGUGGGGGACCCUUUUAUCCCGGUUGGUGUUACUAACCGGGACUACAAAGGUUCCAGAAAAAUAAAAAAUUGGGCCAGCCUGUGCCGACCGCCCGCCCACGCCGGCUUGCCCGCGGCCACACGCCCGCGCCGGCUGCCCGUGACCGUCCGCCCGCCUGCUUCGCCUAGUGCGCGAGAUAAGGGAGGGGAGAGAAUAAGGUGGAGAGAGAGAGAAGGGGGGAGGCCCCGAUUGGUGAAGCGAGGUAUUCUUUAGUUCUGGUUGGUAAUUCCAACCAGGACUAAUAGGGGCGUUUAGUCCCGGCUGGUGUUUUCAACCGGGACUAAACGCCUCACCAGAUUCCCCCAUCCCACUAGCCAUUACAACCGGGACUAAAGGGUCUCUUUAGUCCCAGUUGAUAUUACCAACCGGGACUAAAGGUCCCAUCGUUGGUGGCCGUCAAUGGUGGCCACUUGACCCAAGACUAAAGGCCCUUUAGUCCCGGGUCCAAAGACGAUUGGGACUAAAAACGCUGGAUGGAAGGUCUCUUCUCUACCAAUGAUAUUUGAGUCAAGUGGGGGUUGUUGCUCUGAUUCGUCUACAUAUAAUUUAGGGCUCCAAGAAGUAGCGGGGUAGCACAUGCAAUAUCGUGUCAUAUGUAUCUUUGUGAAUCCAGGAUAAGCACAUUGUUAAUUAUUCAUCCUCUACCCAUUAACUGGCAAAGGUACCAGAAGUUCCAUUAAUGACUAUCUAGUGCUGCUACACUUUACUAGAUCACAUGGUUUGUCUGUCAACCUAAGUUAAGAAGCACAUAAUGCUAGGUUGAAGUUCGGAGCAAAGUACCAUAUGUAUCCCAGAUCUGAUUAACCACUUAUUAUAAUUCAGAAUACAAGUUGUUUAGGACGUUGACACUGUCUACUGCUAGAUACAUCUAUGGACUAGGGUAGCUCCAUCUAUAAAUACAACCCCCCUUCUGUCACACUUCAAAUACGAUAAGGUAGUAAGGAAAUAGAUACCCUACGAUCCUAGCUAGCCAUGGCCUCCUAUUAUGCAAUAGCCGUGCUUUCAUUAUUAUGCAAUGGCCUCCUAUUAUGCAAUAGCUGUGCUUUCAUUGUUUGCCUUUUCCAUAUCUGCAGUACGCGCGCUGGAUGACAAGAAGCUGCAAACCACCCUAUACAUAAAACAGACACCUGCCACGGACCAAAGGGCUGUGGGAACUGAUACAAUCGUCAUUAAUUGGGUCAUAAAGGAUGGGCCUGCUGGGAAUACCAUCGGGCAUGCAGAGGGCCUCACGACCCAUGCCAACCCAACCCAGAAUUUCUGGGUAACCAUAAUGGAUUUGGUGUUCGAGAGUGGAAGGUAAAGAAUCCUUUUUUGGCUACAAAAUUGCUUGUGUUGUGGUAUUUACACAAGUGUAUGUUUAUCAUAUUACGUGGCUUUCUUCAAAAUGAUGUUUUGGGGUUUUAAACAUAGCUUUGACAACUAUUUUUUAAUUUUGUUCUAAAAAUAUAAAACAUAUGAUACUAUCAAUGCAAUUUUAAUACGAUUCUAAACGGACAUAUACCAUCUCCAUUUUUUUGAACUAGGUACUUUAAAAGUUUUGUAUGGACAAAGUUUUCAAUCUUUUACUGGGACCUUGUCCCAAACUCUGUUUUGGACUAGAACUUGGUGAUGCAACUGUCAAGCCCUACACUGCUACUCCUGACCUUUUAAAUUAUGCAUGCAUAUUCUGAUUCUGUCAACAAAAUAGCCUCGCUGGAUCAACACUUAAGGUGAUGGGCCUUCAUGGGGGGAAGAUUAAUGGACCAGGCCAGUGGAGUGUUAUGGGGGGUACAGGAGACCUUACAAUGGCACGAGGUAUUAUAAAUUACAAAAUAAUCCAAGAAGACGGUGCCAGCAGGACCUUUGAAAUAUGCAUAUUUGCAUACUACACUUCAAAGGAAACCAUUCCGGUAAGUGCCAGAUACAUUUUUAUCUGUUGCUAGUAUUGAAAUUUUCUCUUCAUAUUUUGGAUAAAAUUAAAUAGGACAGCAAACAUCUAUACAUACCUUACCACUGCAGUGU
rnacentral:lncRNA from 1 species